UCGGGAAUUUUGGGCAAUGGGGGAAACCCUGACCCAGCAACGCCGCGUGAAGGAUGAAGUAUUUCGGUAUGUAAACUUCGAAAGAAUAGGAAGAAUAAAUGACGGUACUAUUUAUAAGGUCCGGCUAACUACGUGCCAGCAGCCGCGGUAAUACGUAGGGACCAAGCGUUGUUCGGAUUUACUGAGCGUAAAGGGCGCGUAGGCGGCAUGACAAGUCACUUGUGAAAUCUCCGGGCUUAACUCGGAACGGUCAGAUGAUACUGCUUUGCUAGAGUGCAGAAGGGGCAAUCGGAAUUCUUGGUGUAGCGGUGAAAUGCGUAGAUAUCAAGAGGAACACCUGAGGUGAAGACGGGUUGCUGGGCUGACACUGACGCUGAGGCGCGAAAGCCAGGGGAGCAAACGGGAUU
rnacentral:rRNA from 1 species